GAUGAACGCUAGCUACAGGCUUAACACAUGCAAGUCGAGGGGCAGCACGGUGUAGCAAUACACUGGUGGCGACCGGCGCACGGGUGAGUAACACGUAUCCAACCUGCCGCAUACUCCGGAAUAGCCUUUCGAAAGAAAGAUUAAUGCCGGAUGGCAUGUAUGUCCUGCAUGGGAUUUACAUUAAAGAUUCAUCGGUAUGCGAUGGGGAUGCGUUCCAUUAGCUUGUUGGCGGGGUAACGGCCCA
rnacentral:rRNA from 1 species